GACAGCAGUCGCCGCGGUAAUACGGAGGGUGCAAGCGUUAUCCGGAUUUAUUGGGUUUAAAGGGUCCGUAGGCGGAUCUGUAAGUCAGUGGUGAAAUCUCACAGCUUAACUGUGAAACUGCCAUUGAUACUGCAGGUCUUGAGUAAAUUUGAAGUGGCUGGAAUAAGUAGUGUAGCGGUGAAAUGCAUAGAUAUUACUUAGAACACCAAUUGCGAAGGCAGGUCACUAAGAUUUAACUGACGCUGAUGGACGAAAGCGUGGGGAGCGAACAGGAUUAGAUACCCCGGUAGUCCCUGUCUCUUAUAU
rnacentral:rRNA from 1 species